GACGAACGCUGGCGGCGUGCUUAACACAUGCAAGUCGAACGGAGUGGCGAACGGGUGAGUAACACGUGGGUGAUCUGCCUUGCACUUCGGGAUAAGCUUGGGAAACUGGGUCUAAUACCGGAUAGUGCAAGAUGAGCUCGCGGCCUAUAAGCUUGUUGGUGGGGUAAUGGCCUACCAAGGCGUCGACGGGUAGCCGGCCUGAGAGGGUGUACGGCCACAUUGUGACUGGGAUACGGCGCAGGGGCCAACGUGAGGCAGCAGUGGGGAAUAUUGCGCAAUAGGCGGAAGCCUGAUGCAGCGACGCCGCGUGGGGAAUGAAGGCUUGCGGGUUGUAAACUCCUUUCGACAGGGACGCGGUACCUGGAUAAGAAGCACCGGCUAACUACGUGCCAGCAGCCGCGGUAAUUC
rnacentral:rRNA from 1 species